CGCAGAGGCAUCGGCGGCGGCGGCGGAGACGGAGAGAGGCAGGCAGGCAGGGCGAGGGCGAGAGACGGAGGGAGGGAGCGAGCGAGGCGGACCAGACAGACAGACAGGCGGGCGGGCGGGCAGAGCGAGCCACCCGCCAGGCUGCGCUCAGCCCCGCUCGCAGCGGAGAGAGCAGAAGGCAGGAGGAGGGAGGGGAGGAGGGGGAGGGAGGGAGAGAGGGAAUCCAGCUACCACCACCCAAAGCCAGCGUCUGCUUUCUGUCCUCAUUUCCUUUUCCCACCCAGCUUGGAGAGCAGAGAAAGGCAGAGAGAGCGAGAAAUAGAGACAGUCUGAGAGACAGACAGACAGCCAGAGAGAGCGGGAGGGAGGAGGGCGGAGGAGGAGGAGCAGGAGGACUACGCGGGGCGCGUUCCCUCCCAGCAGCCGGGCGCCCGCGUCGCUGCCACCGCCGGAAGACAGACGCCCCCUAAAACCCCUCGCUUGGCUCGGACCCACGGAGCCGGCAGCCCAGCACUCCGAUGGGAGCUUGCCUGAUUGUCAAGCCAUCGGCCUGGACCCCAGAGCCUACCCAGCUGAGCAUGUGCAGAGGGCCCCGAGUGCGGGGCAACGCUCAGGCCAUUACAGAGACCACCCUGGAGAUGCUGAUGAAGACAGGCCUUUCCUGCUGAGCCGGGCCUGUCUGCACAGCCUGCUCAGGCGCUGUCCACGCCCCGAGGCCUGGGCUCAGGCCGAAGUUGCUCCACAGCACCCCCAGCUGACAGCCAGCGACUGGCAGAGCCCCCAGGCACGGGGGCCCUCUCUCUUCCAGGUCAGCCGGGUGUCUGCGCUGGAUGGAGCGCUGAGGGAGCCGGGGGUGGUACCUGGAGGAGGCCGGGCCGGUGGGCAGGGGUUGAGCUGUGGCCACUAGACCAUUUGGGGAAUUCAAAUCUAUUUCCUGUCUUAUUGCCCACAGAGAUCUCCAGUGUGACAGCCCAGGCGGCAGAGCCGAGGGUAAGUGGUGGGGGUUCUCCUGGAGCCCUUUGGGGGUAAGAAGCAGGAAGGCUGUGCCCUUGUUAGAGCUUCCUGGCCUUCUCCUUAAGUUUGAUCACCCUGCUGAUGUGCUUCCCUCUCAGAGGCAGGGGUCCUGUUCUUCCUGAGCACAUAGCCAGAUUUCCAAAGGGGAUGAGCUGUCAAUAAGUGAAGCUGGGCCAGGCAUGGUGGCUCACGCCUGUAAUCCCAGUAAUUUGGGAGGCCAAGGCGAGUGGAUCAUCUGUGGUCAGGAGCUCAAGACCAGCCUGGCCAACAUGGUGAAACCCCGACUCUACUAAAAUACAAAAAUUAGCCAGGCGUGGUGGCGCGUGCCUGUAAUCCCAGGUACUUGGGAGGCUGACACCUAAGAAUCACUUGCACUAGGAGGCAGAGGUUGCAGUGAGCUGAGAUCACACUACUUCACUCUAGCCUGGGUGACAGAGUGAGACUCUCUUUCAAAAAAAAAAAAAAAGUGAAACUGGGGCCCAUGAGGGGCUUGCUGUACAUAUGGUGGUUUGAGAAAGGCUGGGAGUCAGCAAGGGGAUUGGGCUUGGGGUGGGGAUGGGAGCUUGGUAAGGAGAUGAGACCUCAGGAGGGAGGGGUCCAGGAGCUCAUCGAGGAUAUGGGAAGCUGAUGAGGAUGUAGGUGUUCAGUAAGGGACCUCCUGCUCUUCCUGCCUGGCAGGUCCUGGUCCCGGCUUCUCGCACCCUCAUGUCAGCCCCGGCCCCGCCCGGCGGCCUGCGGAGGACAAGGUCAGGAUGCGUGUGAAGCCCCAGGGCCUGGUGGUGACUUCCAGUGCCGUGUGCAGCUCUCCUGACUACCUCCGGGAGCCCAAGUACUACCCCGGCG
ensembl:lincRNA